rnacentral:rRNA from 1 species
GCAAAUCGAUUUGCUUUGAUGUUUGUAAAAAUUGUUAAAUUUAAGUUAAAAUUUUUUGUUGAAAAGAUAAUUUUUAAAUAAGUAGUUAUUAAUGAAUUUUGUUGUAUAAACUAUAGUAAAGAGUACUGAAAAGGAAAUUUUAAAAGUUAAGGAAAUUUAUAUAGUAAAUCUUAAUGAUUGUAUCUUGUGUAUCAUAGAAAUUCAAGAUUAAUUAGAAAAAGUAAUGUUCCCGAAGUAGAAAUAGCUAAUCUUAUAAAAAGUUCUUGUGUCAAAAAGAUUUUAAAUAUAAGGUUAAAGAUGAGAUGUCAAACGAGUUCUAGGGUAUCUGGUUUCCUUUGAAUUGAAUAAAAUUUGGAUUUUUAGGUAUAAAAUAACUAAAAAUAGAAGAGCAGGAGGGUUACAGCUUCUUGUUCUAAAAAUAAUGUAAAAUAGAUAUAGGAGAAUAUAAGAACGUAUCUAGGCUUGAAAGUAGCCAUGAGUAUUAAAGUGUUUAAACUAAGUUGAAUUUAGUAAAUCUUUUAUCUAUGUCUUUUUAUUGUAAAAGGGAGUAUGGUUUAAUAAAAGUACCAUAGUUAUUAUGAAUUUAUUAGUAGAAUUUAAAGUAAAAUAUAAAGAAUCGAGAUUGUUGGUAGAGUUUAAAAAAUGUAUGAUAGAUCUAAGGAACUCGGCAAAUAUUUUCCUUGCCUGUUUAUCAAAAACAUGUCUAUUUGUUUUAUUAAAAAUAGUCAGGCCUGCUCACUGAUAGUUGUAUUAAAGAGCCGCGGUAUCCUAACCGUGCAAAGGUAGCAUAAUAAUUAGGUUUUUAAUUGGAAUCUUGUAUGAAUGGUCUUACAAAGGAAAAUCUGUCUUAGAUUUAAAAAUUGAAAUUAACUUUCAAGUGAAAAGGCUUGAUUAAAUUAAAGGGACGAUAAGACCCUAUAAAGCUUUAUGUAAAAAGAGAUAUGAUCUAUUUAAUUUAUAAAGGUUUGAUUUUGUAUUACAUUUUAUUGGGGCAAUAUGAAUAUAAUUUUUUGUAACUGUUUAUUUUUAAAAACAUUAUUUUUGAUUUUGUUGAUCCUUUUUAGAGAUUAUAAGAACAAGUUACUUUAGGGAUAACAGCGUUAUUUUUCUUAGAGUUCUUAUCGAAAGAAAAGAUUGCGACCUCGAUGUUGAAUUAAAAUGUCUUUAUGGUGCAGCAGCUAUAGAAGAAAGUCUGUUCGACUUUUAAAAUUUUACAUGAUUUGAGUUCAGACCGGCGUGAGCCAGGUCGGUUUCUAUCUUUUAAUAAAAAAGAGAUUAUUUUAGUACGAAAGGAUUUGAUAGUCUAAAUGUUUUAUAAUUUGAUUAGUUGUUUUGGCAGAAAAUAUGCUCUAGACUUAGGAUCUAGCUAAAU